rnacentral:rRNA from 1 species
GACGAACCGUGCGAUCGUUGUUCGGAAUCACUGGGCUUAAAGGGCGCGUAGGCGGGUCAUCAAGUCCGGGGUGAAAUCUUUCGGCUUAACCGGAAAAUAGCCUUGGAUACUGGUGGUCUUGAGGGAGGCAGGGGCAGCGGGAACUUCCGGUGGAGCGGUGAAAUGCGUUGAUAUCGGAAGGAACGCCGGUGGCGAAAGCGCGCUGCUGGACCUUUUCUGACGCUGAGGCGCGAAAGCCAGGGGAGCAAACGGG